rnacentral:rRNA from 1 species
AACGUAGGACGCAAGCGUUAUCCGGAGUUACUGGGCGUAAAGCGCGUGUAGGCGGUUGCCCAAGUCGGGUGUGAAAGCCUUGAGCUCAACUCAAGAAAUGCACUCGGUACUGGGUGACUAGAGGACCGGAGAGGAUAGUGGAAUUCCCAGUGUAGUGGUGAAAUACGUAGAGAUUGGGAAGAACACCAGUGGCGAAGGCGGCUAUCUGGACGGUUUCUGACGCUAAGACGCGAAAGCGUGGGGAGCAAACAGG